UACGAAGGGGGCUAGCGUUGUUCGGAAUCACUGGGCGUAAAGCGCACGUAGGCGGCUUUUUAAGUCAGGUGUGAAAUCCUGGAGCUCAACUCCAGAACUGCCUUUGAUACUGAGAAGCUUGAGUCCGGGAGAGGUGAGUGGAACUGCGAGUGUAGAGGUGAAAUUCGUAGAUAUUCGCAAGAACACCAGUGGCGAAGGCGGCUCGCUGGCCCGGUACUGACGCUGAGGUGCGAAAGCGUGGGGAGCAAACAGG
rnacentral:rRNA from 1 species